rnacentral:rRNA from 1 species
CGUCCCCGGGUCAGGCGGGACUACCCGCUGAGUUUAAGCAUAUCAAUAAGCGGAGGA